GAACGAGACCUUCGGGUCUAGUGGCGCACGGGUGCGUAACGCGUGGGAAUCUGCCCCUUGGUUCGGAAUAACAGUUAGAAAUGACUGCUAAUACCGGAUAACGACGUAAGUCCAAAGAUUUAUCGCCGAGGGAUGAGCCCGCGUAGGAUUAGCUAGUUGGUGUGGUAAAGGCGCACCAAGGCGACGAUCCUUAGCUGGUCUGAGAGGAUGAUCAGCCACACUGGGACUGAGACACGGCCCAGACUCCUACGGGAGGCAGCAGUGGGGAAUAUUGGACAAUGGGCGAAAGCCUGAUCCAGCAAUGCCGCGUGAGUGAUGAAGGCCUUAUGGUUGUAAAGCUCUUUUACCCGGGAUGAUAAUGACAGUACCGGGAGAAUAAGCUCCGGCUAACUCCGUG
rnacentral:rRNA from 1 species